GAUGAACGCUGGCGGCGUGCCUAAUACAUGCAAGUCGAGCGAAUGGAUUAAGAGCUUGCUCUUAUGAAGUUAGCGGCGGACGGGUGAGUAACACGUGGGUAACCUGCCCAUAAGACUGGGAUAACUCCGGGAAACCGGGGCUAAUACCGGAUAACAUUUUGAACCGCAUGGUUCGAAAUUGAAAGGCGGCUUCGGCUGUCACUUAUGGAUGGACCCGCGUCGCAUUAGCUAGUUGGUGAGGUAACGGCUCACCAAGGCAACGAUGCGUAGCCGACCUGAGAGGGUGAUCGGCCACACUGGGACUGAGACACGGCCCAGACUCCUACGGGAGGCAGCAGUAGGGAAUCUUCCGCCAUGGACGAAAGUCUGACGGAGCAACGCCGCGUGAGUGAUGAAGGCUUUCGUGUCGUAAAACUCUGUUGUUAGGGAAGAGCAAGUGCUAGUUGAAUAAGCUGGCACCUUGACGGUACCUAACCAGAAAGCCACGGCUAACUACGUGCCAGCCGCCGCAGUAA
rnacentral:rRNA from 1 species